UACGUAGGGAGCAAGCGUUAUCCGGAUUUAUUGGGUGUAAAGGGUGCGUAGACGGGCCUGCAAGUUAGUUGUGAAAUCCCUCGGCUUAACUGAGGAACUGCAACUAAAACUGCAAGUCUUGAGUGCAGGAGAGGUAAGUGGAAUUCCUAGUGUAGCGGUGAAAUGCGUAGAUAUUAGGAGGAACACCAGUGGCGAAGGCGACUUACUGGACUGUAACUGACGUUGAGGCACGAAAGUGUGGGGAGCAAACAGG
rnacentral:rRNA from 1 species